UUUGACUAGAGACCGGCCCACCAGGAUAAAGAUUGAAAAUGUGACGUCAUUCAGGGAUAAAACCGCAAAGGAUUCUGGGAACUUGUGGCAAGAGGUAAGCUGUGUGUGCGGAGUACAAUGGAGGGAGCAGAAAGAGUGAGAAGUAGAGGAGGCCGAGGAAGAGGACGUGGAGGUGAAGAAGUAGGAUGAAGAGGACGACAAGGACAAGGAGGAGCAAGAGGAAGACGAGGAGGGGGGAGAGGAAGAUGAGGAGGGGGGAGAGGAAGGGUAGGAAGAGUAAGAAAUAGAAUUGCUGAUGACAUCAGAGCUACAAUAGUGGACCAUGUCAUCAACCGUGGAAUGACCCUGAGGGUAGCUGGCCAACGGGUCCAGCCUAAACUGAGCCGCUACACUGUAGCAAGUACCAUAAGGACAUCUUGAAAUGAGAAUCGAAUUGCUAGAUGACCAGAUGCUGGGGGCAGAGGAAGCAUGUUCACUGCAGACCAAGUAACCCAUAUAGUCAUUAUGGCGAUUGCAAAUAAUCUUAUACUUGGAAAUAAACACUUGUGUUUGUUUUGAUGUGUUUGAAUAAACACCAGUACUUGAAGUUUGGAUCCCUCUAUGCUUAUGGAUCUAUGACAGAAGUAUGAGCUCAAACUGAC
ensembl:lncRNA